rnacentral:snoRNA from 1 species
UGAUGAUUACCUUCAAUUCCUUUUGCGGUUUCCACCAGAAAGCCUCGGCUUAAGGAUGGUUAAAGGCGUCUGAAU